UGGGGAAUUUUGGACAAUGGGCGCAAGCCUGAUCCAGCAAUGCCGCGUGCAGGAUGAAGGCCUUCGGGUUGUAAACUGCUUUUGUACGGAGCGAAAAGGUCUGCCCUAAUACCUGGGGCUCAUGACGGUACCGUAAGAAUAAGCACCGGCUAACUACGUGCCAGCAGCCGCGGUAAUACGUAGGGUGCGAGCGUUAAUCGGAAUUACUGGGCGUAAAGCGUGCGCAGGCGGUGAUGUAAGACAGAUGUGAAAUCCCCGGGCUCAACCUGGGACCUGCACUUGUGACUGCAUCGCUGUAGUGCGGCAGAGGGGGAUGGAAUUCCGCGUGUAGCAGUGAAAUGCGUAGAUAUGCGGAGGAACACCGAUGGCGAAGGCAAUCCCCUGGGCCUGCACUGACGCUCAUGCACGAAAGCGUGGGGAGCAAACA
rnacentral:rRNA from 1 species